UACGAAGGGGGCUAGCGUUGUUCGGAAUUACUGGGCGUAAAGCGCACGUAGGCGGAUGCUCAAGUCAGGGGUGAAAUCCCGGGGCUCAACCCCGGAACUGCCUUUGAUACUGGGCGUCUCGAGUGUGGAAGAGGUGAGUGGAAUUGCGAGUGUAGAGGUGAAAUUCGUAGAUAUUCGCAGGAACACCAGUGGCGAAGGCGGCUCACUGGUCCACAACUGACGCUGAGGUGCGAAAGCGUGGGGAGCAAACAGG
rnacentral:misc_RNA from 1 species